rnacentral:rRNA from 1 species
AUUAUGGAGAGUUUGAUCCUGGCUCAGGAUGAACGCUGGCGGCGUGCCUAAUACAUGCAAGUCGAGCGCGACUGA